UGAUGCAGCAAGAACCUUCAACACGUCUGAUCUCAUCUGGUCUCAGAAGCUAAGCAGGCUCAAGUCUGGUUAGUACUCGGAUGGGAGAAUUGAGCUUUUAUGACUUAUUUUAGGAAGAUUGCAAUACUGUUUCCC
rnacentral:rRNA from 1 species